UAACUUCAGAAGUUUGUUGAAGCGCAUAAAGUUUUUUUGACUGACCUCAAAUAGGGUGAUUCCUACAUGAAUCACUUUACGAUUGUUUAAUAUUAUGCUAAAUUAUGUAGUUCAAUUUCUGAUUUUUACUUCGAGUCCCUUGGCUUUCUCUUGGGCAUUCUUACAACGAGAUUCUUUUUUUUUUCAACUGUCUUUUAAAACUUAUAUCAUUUAAUCAUCGUAUCGUAUCCCCAUUCGAUAAAUUGUAUCCUCAUUCCCGAAAAUUUGUAAUAAAUUUAC
rnacentral:lncRNA from 1 species